GGGACUGGUUUGAUUGGUCUCUGAAACCCUGGUGCCUGAGCCAAUGUUGAACCCAGACAGGGUUCUAAAUAAAAGUUUUUGAAUGAAUAAACCCAUAAUGCAUCAUACACUGUUGAGCAAAGACCCCUUUUCCCUGCCAGAAUCUUUAGUGCAUUAACAAAAAGGCCCCAAACCAAAUAAUUUGUCCACAUUUUAUAAUGGCAUCAGUAUCGAGUUGUGCAUUUUUACAGCACUUUUGAUGUGGCCAAGAAUUUUUAUAUCCCUUCGACUUGAACCUCGAGUGUAAAUUGGGCUGGACGGGAAUGAGGCACUUGCUUUCACAGAGUAGUAAAUGGAGGCUCCAGGCGAUUGGUUCCAGGCAGUAAAGCACAGGGAUGAAGGGCAGAGGCUGGGAUCCCAGCAGUGGCCUGGAUUGAAGCGCAGCUCAGCCACGCCCUGGCUGACCACGCACGAGAGCUUCACCUCCCAGAGCCCAGUGACCUCACCCACAGGACGGGGACAGCUAUAGCUGCCAUGUGGAAUUGCCGUCAGCCUUACAAGGGAGGGUGCGUGCUGUCCAGAACAAGUUUCUGGCAUGCCGUCAGGACGCAGUAAAUAGUAUUGGCCCCCCAAGAUCAGGGGAAGGAUGUUACGGUGUUGGUGUUACCGCAGGGCAAAUGCAAUCGAGAGCGUGUGCCGCAGCCGGGUUAGAAUUCAAUUCUCAUGCCAACUCAGCCACACGGCUGGAAUAAAACCCCGUCCUUCCCUGGACCUUGGUUUCCUGAUCCGCAAAACACGGGGGGUAAGACAGGUUCAGGAUGCCUGGGCUCCAAGUGCCUCCUUCACAUGAAAGUUCUGUGCAGAGUCAACUUGGAUAACAAAACCGGGGGCUGCCCAGUGUAGAGACAGGGUGGGACCCCCCUCCCCGCCCCCCGCUUGGGGGAUGUUGGUGGAUUUCGGCGUCUCUAGACGGGCUACCUCGUAAGGUAAGGUAGCCCGCUUUCAUCCACGUUCCAACGUCUCCAGCCCAACUCUUAGAGUGUGUACGUCUUUAAGGAGAGUCGGGAUCUCCCCACCCCAACCUGUUCCCUUCUUUCCUCUGAUUCUCACUGUCAUGAUUGGGAGCCUUGAGGCUUCCUGGGAACAUAACAUUGAUGCAAAAGGCUGACUACACAGGGCCUCUGCCAGGGGACGCUCUCGGGAGCUGAGCAGUGAGCUGGGCCGGUGGAACCCCCUCCUACGAGAUGGGUCCAUGGGCCCGCGGUGUAAACGGCCUUUGUUACUUCAUAUUGUUAAACCGCGGCGCGGGGAGACCGGAACCGUGUGGAAGAACGCAGCGGGGUCAGGCCAGGCUGUGGCGAGGCUCGGGGAAAGCCCAUCGAGCGGAUCUUCUUUCCCAAAUGACUUUGCUCAUGUAAAAUUGUCUUCUAUUAUUGCUGGAAAAGGGGUUUUUAAAAGAGGUUAACACGCGACUUAAUGAAUAUGGAGUAAUAAUGUUCCUUGUAUCAAAUUAAAAUUCUAAGAGUGCCACGCGAAACAAGUACAUUAGGAGUAUCCGACAUUAUGUAUGAUUAUUACCGGACUGCUUGAUUGCCCUACAUACUUGGGAGUAAAAGAAACAGCUCUAAGUCUUGCAUUUGAAUUGGCGAGCGGCACCCUCACGGUGAGAACCUGGGCAGGCCAGAAGCAUGCCCACCCCGCUCAGGAACGUCCUGCGAUAUUAAGAUACAUCCUCAUGAUAAGCCAGAGGGAUAACGGAACCGAUAGACAAGAGCAUUGUCUCCGUGGAAGCAGGGGGUAGAGAGGGGUACGGACGAGUUGGGAUUGCAGGGGCUCUAUCCUUAUGCUGCGUGACCUUAGGCAACUCACGACACCUUUCUGAGCCUCCCGUUCGCGACACUGUUAUGUAGUCUGGAUAAAGGACCGCCGUGAGGGUACACCGAGGUUCCAGAUGUGACGGCACUUUGGAAAGUCUAGUGGGUGACUGAGUUCUGGGGAUUGAGGAUGAUGGAAAGGUCUUUAUGACAAUUGCCUCCCUGUUCUCGCUGCUCUCCCACUCCUGAAGUCCGGCUGCCAUCUAUAACACUUAAUAACAGUAACCCACACUUCUUAAGUGCUCACUAAGGGCCAGGUAUUAUUCCACUCGGUUCUACUGUAACUUUAUGUGCUAAGUAUUGUUAUUAACUCCAUUUUAUAGAGUAGGAAAUAGAGGUUCAGAAUGGCUGAUAAGCCGCCCAAGGCCACGGGACCAGUAAGCAGCAGGGAUUUAAACCCAAGUCAGAAGACGCUAAAACCUCUCAGUUCUUAUGCUGUAUUCGCCUCUAAAAUACGCCUGACAAGCUGCUUCCGAACUGUGCUUGAACACCUCCAGGGACGAAGGGCUCAUUACCACCCUCAUCCCUAUCCUCACAAUGAGUGCUCUCCCCUGACACAUAAAGCAUUAUUAUGGUGAGAUUAUUAUCUGUAAAAUAGAGUGAUUGGAGUAGGUGCUCUCUUAAGGUCUAUUCCAGAAACAUCACUUGGAGAGCACAAGCCAUUUACCGACAAAUCCAGCCUGGCUGCGGAAGAAAGGAUUAAACAUCUCCGUAUGAAAAUGGAACGCAGCGAGUAAGAGGUGUGUGUGAAUGGGGGCAAUUAAUCCUCUUUUGCCGAUCACGAUAAAAAAACAUUUGCUGGAGAGGAGGCAUUUAUUCCCUGCAGACACACGGUGCGAUUUUAAAAUAUCUCCACAGAAGGAAAGAUGACGGAGGAAAUACAAAUCUAUUAAAUGUGCAGGGCAGAAGAAAAAGGGGCUUCCAUAAAAGGAUUUCUAAAGCAUAUCAAAGGCUUCUGGGGUCAGCGAGGGCUGUCGGAACACUACCAAUUAGAGCUAAAUGGGAAACCGGCUUAAAUCUCAAAAUUAAAGAUUAAGAGCACCAAUUAACUUGUCUUCUAACAGAAAACAUAGCCCUUAAUGCUCAGUGUAAUUUAAUAUUUCAAAAUUAUGACCACAAGCAUCUAAGGCUGCCGUUCGACAAUAUAAAAUGGACAAUAAAAAUCUCCGCGGGGCCUUGGCUAUCCCGGCCGAACGGGCGUUGAACUACGGCGGGUACAGGGUGGCUCUGAAGUCACAAUGGCUGGACUGGCCCCGGGCACAGUUAGAACUCGCCCCAGGACACCUCAGCUCCGUUUUCCAAAGACCCAUUCUCUGGCCAGCAGGAACCUUUUGAUUUGUGUUUCGCAGGCUUUAAUAAGGUGGAUUAUGCUGAUGUGAGCGGAGGAAACCCCCAGCCGUGCUGAGAGGGGCCGCAGACUUUUCCAGCAGAUUUCUCCAAAGCAGGGCUUUUCAACCUUGAGGAGCUUUGAAAAUGCCUCACCCCUGGGCCUUCAUAUAGACCCCAAGCCCAGGGCAUUGGAAUUUCUUAAAGCUCUCGGUUAAUUCUCACUGGCACCCGGGGUUGAAAACUGCUCCUCUGAAAUAUUGUGGACCCACCGAAGAAGAAAAAGCGGACAUCUGGAACACAGGGAAGACUUGAUUUAUGCUGGAGUCACCAGGAUGAUACCCGCCAUGCUGACAGUGAGCUGUGCAGAUGAGAACACGGGUCCACGGAAAAAUUUCCUCCUGGCAGGUAGGAACUGGGAGCUGAGUAGAACACAGAAUUCGGCCUCUGACAAAGUCUUGGAGCAUAAAACCAGAAAUAUAAAAAGCCCACGGCUGAGAAUCUAGGUGUCUGGGGACACCCCUACACGUGUGAGGCCCCUGUGGGUGACCGGCCUUCCUAAGGAGGGUGAAGCUGAAACCCCCAUGUGGAGCUGUCCAGGACCUCCUCCUGGCCUGGAACCAGCUUCCCCGUCAUUUCUCCGUGACUCUUCUCCCAUUGCCUGGGUAACAGCGUGGGGCACUGGGCAAGUUCCCAACUCUGCAGACAGAUGGAUGAACUCAGGGUGCAGAGACACCAUUUAACGAGUGAUCUUGGGCAAAGAGCUCCCCACCUCGAGCUUCCUCAGUUUCCUCAUCUAUAAAACACAGAUAAUAACAGGACUCACGGGGUUAGUGUAAGGACCGCCUGAGAUCAGCCCUGCGGGCCCCCGGCGAGGCGUCUGGCUUCACGGAUGUCCCAUCACAGACCCGCUCUCGACAUCCACUGUGUAUCACCUCGUGCCUCCCUGUCGCCGUGCUUUCGCCCAGCCAGGACCCUCCACCUGGAGUGCCUUCCCUCAUCGUCCAUCGCUCCCUGUCUGAUGCCGGGUUAGAUGCUACACUUACCCCUCGCUUUUUUCUCUUUGCUUCUUCUCCAUUCCAGAAUUUAGGUUUUAAACUCUCCAACAGGACUGCUCUCUCCUCUGACCGUUCACCUCACCUGCGUCCUGGACCCCUACUUUGCAGUGACCAUCGUCUGCCUGAAUCACACCGUCACUCCCCCCCCCCCCCCCCCGCCCACUCCCACUUAGGAUUCCCUGAGGAUAACCGGUGUGGCAUUUCAUCUCCUGGAGGCCAGUGUGGAGUCUCAGAAAAAGCAUGUGCUUUGGCACGAAUCCUCCCAGCGAGCCAAAGAGAUGACUAAGCGGAGGAGGCUCAGAGAGGUGAAGACAGUUGUCCCUGGUCACCCAGCUAGCGAGUGCUGGGCUGGGGUCUGAACCCCUCUCACCACCAACUGGUACUUGUUCCUCUGCCAUAUCACUUGGGCUUUCGCAUAGUUUUUCUUUGAAGAAAGGGAUAAACAGCUUAAAAAUCAUUGGAAACCAGCGCACCAGACCAAGCGAAGUCCGGGGCUCGUGCCUGGCGGAUCGGCGUGUGAUAAGAGAGCUGCCCGGAGUCUCAGCUUGGAUGUUGGCCCACAGCCCUACUGUGGCCGGCCCCUGACUAGACCUGUCCUCAUCCCACUGACGAACUCAGAGGGGGCUGCCCAGGGCUUGGCAAGCACUAUCUCCUGCGAUCUACUGGAACGAUCUACCA